rnacentral:rRNA from 1 species
GACGAACGCUGGCGGCGUGCUUAACACAUGCAAGUCGAACGGAAAGGCCCUGCUUGCAGGGUCCUCGAGUGGCGAACGGGUGAGUAACACGUGGGUGAUCUGCCCUGCACUUCGGGAUAAGCUUGGGAAACUGGGUCUAAUACCGGAUAGGAGCCAUCUUUAGUGUGGUGGUUGGAAAGUUUUUUCGGUGUAGGAUGAGCUCGCGGCCUAUCAGCUUGUUGGUGGGGUAAUGGCCUACCAAGGCGGCGACGGGUAGCCGGCCUGAGAGGGUGUACGGCCACAUUGGGACUGAGAUACGGCCCAGACUCCUACGGGAGGCAGCAGUGGGGAAUAUUGCACAAUGGGCGCAAGCCUGAUGCAGCGACGCCGCGUGGGGGAUGAAGGCCUUCGGGUUGUAAACUCCUUUCGCUAGGGACGAAGCUUUUUUGUGACGGUACCUAGAUAAGAAGCACCGGCUAACUACGUG